GAAUAGGGCAUGUCAGUGGGUCUGGCGGGCAAUCAAUAGUCUUUCGACGUGAUAACAAUCGUAUAUCGGAGUCGAGGCUGGCGCGUCGGGUGUAANACAUGUUCUCUUUNUGCUUCCAAUCCCCAACCUGCUUUUAGCUAGUAGUCGGUCGAUCCAUCGACCUUUGAACGCAAAGGGCAGACCAUUGACCACUUUGACCUCAAAUCAGGUAGGACUACCCGCUGAACUUAAGCAUAUCAAUAAGCGGAGGAAAAGAAACUAACAAGGAUUCCCCUAGUAACUGNGAGUGAAGCGGGAAAAGCUCAAAUUUUGAAUCUGACGGUCCUUGCGGCCGUCC
rnacentral:rRNA from 1 species